rnacentral:rRNA from 1 species
GACGAACGCUGGCGGCGUGCCUAACACAUGCAAGUCGAACGGAACUUCUUUAAAGGAUUUCUUCGGAAUGAAUUUGAUUAAGUUUAGUGGCGGACGGGUGAGUAACGCGUGAGUAACUUGCCUCUGAGAGGGGAAUAACAUUCUGAAAAGAAUGCUAAUACCGCAUAAUAUAUAUUUAUCGCAUGGUAGAUAUAUCAAAGAUUUAUCGCUUAGAGAUGGACUCGCGUCCGAUUAGUUAGUUGGUGAGGUAACGGCUCACCAAGACCGCGAUCGGUAGCCGGACUGAGAGGUUGAACGGCCACAUUGGGACUGAGACACGGCCCAGACUCCUACGGGAGGCAGCAGUGGGGGAUAUUGCGCAAUGGGGGAAACCCUGACGCAGCAACGCCGCGUGAAGGAUGAAGGUCUUCGGAUUGUAAACUUCUUUUAUUAAGGACGAAGAAAGUGACGGUACUUAAUGAAUAAGCUC